GUCUUCUUUCGGUGAUUUGAGUAAUCCUUGAAAGAUAUUCGGGGAUAAGUCCUUGAGAAUGAAGAAAAAAGGAAUGACAGAAUUCUGCAAGAUCGAGAUUGUGCUUUGUUAACUGUAAGGAGUAGACGUGUUUUUUUUU